CGCGGCCUAUCAGCUUGUUGGUGAGGUAACGGCUCACCAAGGCUACGACGGCUAGGGGGCGUGAGAGCGUGGCCCCCGUCACCGGAACUGAGACACUGUCCGGACACCUACGGGUGGCUGCAGUCGAGAAUCUUCGGCAAUGGGGGAAACCCUGACCGAGCGACGCCGCGUGGAGGAAGAGGGCCUUCGGGUUGUAAACUCCUGUUGGGGGGAAGGAAAUUUGACCGAACCCCUGAGGAAGGGUGGGCUAAGUUCGUGCCAGCAGCCGCGGUAAGACGAACCGCUCGAGCGUUAUUCAGAAUCAUUGGGCUUAAAGAGCACGUAGGCGGUCCUGUAAGUUGGAGGUGAGAGACCAUCGGCUCAACCGUGGAAUUGCCCCCAAAACUGCAGGACUAGAGAGAGUAAGGGGUAUGUGGAACUUCCAGUGGAGCGGUGAAAUGUGUUGAUAUUGGAAGGAACGCCAGUGGCGAAAGCGACAUACUGGGCCUCUUCUGACGCUGAGGUGCGAAAGCUAGGGUAGCGAACGGGAUUAGAUACCCCGGUAGUCCUAGCCAUAAACGUUGGGUACUAGGUAGAUAGCCUCCUCAGGCCAUCUGCCGGAGCGAAAGUGUUAAGUACCCCGCCUGGGGAGUACGG
rnacentral:rRNA from 1 species